UGAGAGGGUGAUCGGCCACACUGGAACUGAGACACGGUCCAGACUCCUACGGGAGGCAGCAGUAGGGAAUCUUCCGCAAUGGGCGAAAGCCUGACGGAGCAACGCCGCGUGAGUGAUGAAGGUCUUCGGAUCGUAAAACUCUGUUAUUAGGGAAGAACAUAUGUGUAAGUAACUGUGCACAUCUUGACGGUACCUAAUCAGAAAGCCACGGCUAACUACGUGCCAGCAGCCGCGGUAAUACGUAGGUGGCAAGCGUUAUCCGGAAUUAUUGGGCGUAAAGCGCGCGUAGGCGGUUUUUUAAGUCUGAUGUGAAAGCCCACGGCUCAACCGUGGAGGGUCAUUGGAAACUGGAAAACUUGAGUGCAGAAGAGGAAAGUGGAAUUCCAUGUGUAGCGGUGAAAUGCGCAGAGAUAUGGAGGAACACCAGUGGCGAAGGCGACUUUCUGGUCUGUAACUGACGCUGAUGUGCGAAAGCGUGGGGAUCAAACAGGAUUAGAUACCCUGGUAGUCCACGCCGUAAACGAUGAGUGCUAAGUGUUAGGGGGUUUCCGCCCCUUAGUGCUGCAGCUAACGCAUUAAGCACUCCGCCUGGGGAGUACGACCGCAAGGUGAAACUAAAGGAAUUGACGGC
rnacentral:rRNA from 1 species